GAUGAACGCUGACAGAAUGCUUAACACAUGCAAGUCCACUUGAAUUUGGGUUUUUACCUUAGGUUUGGGUGGCGGACGGGUGAGUAACGCGUAAAGAACUUGCCUCACAGCUAGGGACAACAUUUGGAAACGAAUGCUAAUACCUAAUAUUAUGAUAAUAGGGCAUCCUAUAAUUAUGAAAGCUAUAAGCGCUGUGAGAGAGCUUUGCGUCCCAUUAGCUAGUUGGAGAGGUAACGGCUCACCAAGGCGAUGAUGGGUAGCCGGUCUGAGAGGGUGAUCGGCCACAAGGGGACUGAGACACGGCCCUUACUCAUACGGGAGGCAGCAGUGGGGAAUAUUGGACAAUGGACCGAGAGUCUGAUCCAGCAAUUCUGUGUGCACGAUGAAGUUUUUCGGAAUGUAAAGUGCUUUCAGUUGGGAAGAAACAAAUGACGGUACCAACAGAAGAAGAGACGGCUAAAUACGUG
rnacentral:rRNA from 1 species